UGGUGGAGCGAUUUGUCUGGUUAAUUCCGAUAACGAACGAGACUCUAGCCUACUAAAUAGAAAGAAGAUCUAUAUGUCUUGGUUUACUUCUUAGAGGGACUGAUGGCGUUUAGCCAUACGAAAUUGAGCAAUAACA
rnacentral:rRNA from 1 species